rnacentral:tRNA from 1 species
UGGCUCAGGUGGUAAAGAAUCUGCCUGCAAUGCAGAAGACCCAGGUUCAAUCCCUGG